rnacentral:RNase_P_RNA from 1 species
GUGGAGGGAGGCUCAUCAGUGGAGCCAUGAACUGAAUGCGUCACAUCACUGCACCCCGUGUCCCUCGGGAAGGUCUGAGACUUGGGCUAAAAGUGGCUCUAAUAGGACUCUUCCUGAAUUUUGGGGAGGUGAGUUUCCAGAGAACUGGACUCCAUGCAGGGUCAGACUAGGCAGAAGGUGCCAUGGACUGCCAGAGCUUGGAACAGACUCAUAACUAGUGAAGUGAGUUAAAAAUAGUUUAGUAAUAAUUCUCAUUCAAAUAAUAAUGAGUAACAGUUAUUUCUUACUCUGUGCCAC